GUGUACCCGCGGCAAGACGGAAAGACCCCGUGAACCUUUACUAUAGCUUGACACUGAACAUUGAGCCUUGAUGUGUAGGAUAGGUGGGAGGCUUUGAAGUGUGGACGCCAGUCUGCAUGGAGCCGACCUUGAAAUACCACCCUUUAAUGUUUGAUGUUCUAACGUGGACCCGUAAUCCGGGUUGCGGACAGUGUCUGGUGGGUAGUUUGACUGGGGCGGUCUCCUCCUAAAGAGUAACGGAGGAGCACGAAGGUUGGCUAAUCCUGGUCGGACAUCAGGAGGUUAGUGCAAUGGCAUAAGCCAGCUUGACUGCGAGCGUGACGGCGCGAGCAGGUGCGAAAGCAGGUCAUAGUGAUCCGGUGGUUCUGAAUGGAAGGGCCAUCGCUCAACGGAUAAAAGGUACUCCGGGGAUAACAGGCUGAUACCGCCCAAGAGUUCAUAUCGACGGCGGUGUUUGGCACCUCGAUGUCGGCUCAUCACAUCCUGGGGCUGAAGUAGGUCCCAAGGGUAUGGCUGUUCGCCAUUUAAAGUGGUACGCGAGCUGGGUUUAGAACGUCGUGAGACAGUUCGGUCCCUAUCUGCCGUGGGCGCUGGAGAACUGAGGGGGGCUGCUCCUAGUACGAGAGGACCGGAGUGGACGCAUCACUGGUGUUCGGGUUGUCAUGCCAAUGGCACUGCCCGGUAGCUAAAUGCGGAAGAGAUAAGUGCUGAAAGCAUCUAA
rnacentral:rRNA from 1 species